rnacentral:lncRNA from 1 species
UGUUCGACGUGCACAUAGGGUCGUGUGGGCUGGGAGCAGCUGCUUAGUAGAAGGAGGAGAAACAGCAUCAACGAGCCUCGAUGAAGGCAGAAACAACAGUAGCUCGACGGAGGAAGUAGCGGCGAUAGUCGCGGCGACGAAGAGAAGACGCAGUCGCGACAGUAGCCAUGAAACACGAGAAGCAGUAGAAGAAAGUUGAAGCAAUAGCAGCGACAACCAUGGCAGCAGCACGGCGGAGACGAUCUGAAGCAAACGAAGAAGAUGAAGAAAGCGUUGGACGUAGCAAGGUCGACAGACUGUGGCGGAGGCAGCUAAAGCAGCUAUGGUCGUCGACCUGCUGCUGUGUUCAACGACUAAGGUCGUCGAUGAGGAACAACAACAGUCGACGCAGCAGAAACUGUGCUUGAGCAGCAACAAUAUCCAUGGCCGACGAUGAGGAAGGUGAAGCAGAAGCAGCAGUGCUUGGUUCGUUUUUUGUCCGAGUUUCAGGACUUUUUGAUGCUGAUUUUCAGCUGAGUCUUCGAGUCUUCGAGUUUUGGGUUCAUUUUAGUGAUGCUUUGGAGUAGAGGAAAGAAGAAGAAACGAGGUGGAGGAGGGCAGUCACGGACAUCGAGCUCAAACUCGAGCUUGGCGUCGAAUGAUGAAGAUGAAGUCGCGAUGAUGGUCGCUUGGUCGGAGGCGGAGGCAGAAGCAACUGGUUGAGGGCAGCCAUGGAUGGGGUGUGAAGAAGCUUGGAGAAGAAGAAGCAAAUGGAAGGGGGGCGGAUUGGUUUAGUGUUUAGGGUUUCUUGUCUUUUAAUUUUUUGUUUUGUUUUGUAAAAUGUAAGACAAAGGGGUUUGGGUCUUUUGGGUUAUGGACUGGGUCGACCCAGUUCGAAAUGGACUGGGUCGUAGGGAAGAUUGGGCCAUUUUUUGGGCAUGUGGCUUGAAAUUGAAGAAGAGGCCCAAUUCCGACUUUCUUUAUAUUUUCGCUCUUUUUUCUUCUUUUAUUUCUCUAAAACUAAAUUAUAAAAAUACUUAAACUAUUAUUAAGAAUUAAAUUAAGUUAUAAAAGCGCAAAUUAAUUCCCAAUAACAAUUAACGCACAAUUAAGUAAUAAUUAAGUAUAAAAUUGUAUAUUUGGACAUUAAAUGCUAAAAAUGCAAACGAUGCCUAUUUUUGUAAUUUUUAAUUUUUGUAAACAAAUUUAAUUAGUAACAAUUAUAGAAUUAAAUCCUACAUGCAAAUGCGACAUAUUUUUGUAUUUUUUUUAUUAAUUUAACAAAUAAACAUGCANNNNNNNNNNNNNNNNNNNNNNAUAAAAAUUAAUUUAACAAAACAUAUGAACAUGACUAAAAAAAAUAUAUCUAACCAUAGACAUGAACAAAACAAAUAUUUGCCGAUUUUAGAUUCGAAAAUAUCAAAACAAAAUACGGACAAAAUAAAACUCAAAAUCUACCAACCGGAUUGAAACGACGAACAAACGACCAACCAACAACGAACUCGAACAGUGAUCGACGACAUCGACCAAAACUCAUCCAUGUACGCGAACUCGACUGGAGUUGACGCCGAAGUGAAGCAAUAGUCGAUGCAGCAGCGUGGUUUGUUUUCAACUGUUCGACGUGCACAUAGGGUCGUGUGGGCUGGGAGCAGCUGCUUAGUAUAAGGAGGAGAAACAGCAUCAACGAGCCUCGAUGAAGGCAGAAACAACAGUAGCUCGACGGAGGAAGUAGCGGCGAUAGCCGCGGCGACGAAGAGAAGACGUAGUCGCGGCAGUAGCCAUGAAACGCGAGAAGCAGUAGAAGAAAGUUGAAGCAAUAGCAGCGACAACCAUGGCAGCAGCACG